UUAACUAUUAUAUAGUACUCAGACGACACUAAUAUUCAGAGUUUAGGGGUCCUCUGGCGGGCACGCUAGACGCGAAUCUAGGCGCACGAGGCGCGGCCCGCCAAAGCAACAUUCUAUAAUGAUACACAAGGGUGGGAGAUCUACCCCGAAGGGCAUGAACUCUGUAAUGAUCCUUCCGCAGGUUCACCUACGGAAA
rnacentral:misc_RNA from 1 species